UACGAGUUGUGCAAACGUUAUUCGGAAUCACUGGGCUUAAAGGGUGCGUAGGCGGACGCGCAGGUCAGGUGUGAAAUCCCACGGCUCAACCGUGGAAUUGCGCUUGAAACCGCGUGUCUUGAGGGGGUCAGAGGAGAGCGGAACUGAUGGUGGAGCGGUGAAAUGCGUUGAUAUUAUCAGGAACACCGGUGGCGAAAGCGGCUCUCUGGGACCUUACUGACGCUGAGGCACGAAAGCCAGGGGAGCGAACGGG
rnacentral:rRNA from 1 species